rnacentral:misc_RNA from 1 species
AAGCACACUCAGUCUAUCCCGGUGCAAUGAGACUAGCCUC